CAUUCAUCAGUAACAUUUCAGCAUCCACCAUAAUAAGUCCAAGCUUUUUUUGUGUGGUAUCAUGCAUCAGAAUGUUUUUUUCUUUUUUCUUCUUAUUGCUGUUUGGAAGACUAAUGUUGAAUUAAUGCAGAGUGAGUUAUUGUCUUUUCAUAUUCUCAAACAGAAGGGGGCGGUAUUGCGCCUCACGACCCAUUGCAUCUACUCUUAAAAAAGAAGAACGCUGUUGCUAGGUGACGACGCUUCAACGGUUCACGAAGCAACCGCCCAAAGUUUUAACGUUAGCCUUCUGCAUUUCUUUUUCACACAUUAAAUAUUCAACAAUCCAGCCAUGCCUCUUCCAGACACAGUGUUCUGUGCCCAGCAAAUCCACAUCCCCGCCAAGCUGCCAGACAUCCUGAAAAACUUCACCAAGGCAGCCAUCCGUACACAGCCCGAGGAUUUGCUGCUGUGGUCUGCAGCAUACUUUCAUGCGCUGUCUAAAGGAGAGAGUCUGCCUGUCAAGGAUAGGUUCGAGAUGAAUGCCACACAUAAGACCGACUCUGGGCUGACUCCUGGUCUACUUAAGACUCUCCAUAAACAGCUGUCCCCCAGUGGACCAGUCAGCAAGGAGGAACUGCAGAAGAAAUGGAAGGGUCUGUGUCUCCCCAUGGAUCAGCUGGAGACCAUGCUGUCGCUGGGCAGUUUUGGCUCCGACAUCGACUGGAUGGAUUUUUUUGCGCUGGCCUGCAGUGCUUUGGCAGCGACCUUAAUAAGUUCCCUUAAGAUUGCGUGUGAAAUCCUGACCGAGGACGAGGAGGGCGGUGCUGCGAGGAUCCCGUUCAACACCUUUGUCAAACUCUACACCUACCUGUCUCACCUGGACGGGGACGUGCCACAGUAUCACAUUGAUAACUACCUGAGCGGCCUGCGGGCACAAGUGUAGGUGCUGUGUGGUUGUAGGGUGGAUGUAAGCGGUGGAAAAUUAGGCUGAUUCAUAUUUAACCAAUAUAGGUGCUACCCACUUUUCUCAAACCGCUCAUUUGUCCCAUUUGAAUCAGUUCUCCAGUCAAAUCUCAUGCUGCCUAUGAAGAUGGACAGUCGUAUGAUAGAUAUGAUGAUGAUAGUAUUAACUCAGAGACAAAAUGACUUUUUCAGGCUCCCGUGACCUCAAAACUCCAGUGGGAUUCGUACAAGCAAGUGCAACCUUUCCAGUUUUUUUUAAUCACUUGAGAUAGCUAACAAGUCACCAGGAGUCUGAUAAGGUCAACAUGUCAGCACACAUGCUCAUAGCCUAUUAUUGUGUGCUGCCGAACAUUACACAUCCCCACACUUAAAGGGAACACUUCAGACAUGUGCAAUCAAUUCACUGGGGAAUUCUCCCAUUUCAGAACUACACAUUUAUUUAUUUGUUUAUUAAUAAGCGACACAUUAAAAUAAAAUGCAGGAAAUACAUUCCAAACUAGUUUACUAGUUUUCGCAUAAGGUAUGCUGCCAACAUGUUUUCUGCAGUGAUUACUUUGGACUCGCCCAACAUUUGGGGCCAGUAAGUGUUGGCCGGCUAAGACGCAGAGACAGUUUGAGGGCUAAGCCAGCUCCCUUGGCCUCAGCUGAUGCUGUGAGAUUGUAACAUUCACUCUUGUGAGAAUCCUGCAGAGUAGAGCUGUUGCACUGAUAGACUGGUUUCUCUGCCCGACAGCAACAAGCAGGGCGGCAUGAUUCAGAUUUCCAACUUCUACAUAGGCAGGAAGUGAGGAUAGAAGAGACGGAAAGCAACAGACGACAGGAAGGAAGUGAAAGAAACCCACAAAAUGACAGCAUUUGAUGAAUAAACAGGCGAGCUAAGGCUCCUUCAAGCACAGCUGUUGUUUCAUUACCUAGAAAUUGGCCCCAUUAAUUGUUGGUGGCAGACACAGGGGACUAUUAUUCAUUAUUGUCCAGCAGAAAAAGGCUGCUAUUUUGAGUCGGGUUAGAAUGUUUUAAUGAGCAGCAAGAGAGGCACGAAGCUGCCUCCCACAAACUGGUCAGGUGGUGUGGUGUGUAUGCUUUUCUUAUUGCUUGUUUCCUCACAUCUGGGUUAGCCAAAGUGAAUUCAUCAUACACACAACCAACGGCCGGUGGCCUCGCCGCAUUUGGCCUCUCUGCUGGCGUAUUAAUUUCACACAGCAGAUGAAACAGAGGAGAGGUAUUGAGAUGAGCUCUGAGGGCACAGGAGCGUGGUUUUCACCUUGUGUUAAAGAGCUAAAACCCACGGUGUUUAGUUCACUCCACCACGGAAUAUUGGAAAUGGACACGUUCAAGUGCACCCAGGUUUAUCAGUCUGAGGCCGCACACAGAGAUAUUUUGACUUUUUAUUUAUUAAUAUUUAGACGGGUGGCUUUUUAUGAUUUUUUUGACAAACGAUACAAUCACUUAUUUCGACAUAGCAUGCUACGAUUUUGGUUGAUAUCAUACACUAUGACUUUUUUUCAACUAGAAAAGAAAAAAAAGAAAAUAAUAUAAUAGUAUGACUUUUUCGACAUACUGUUACUAUAUGCUAUCAAUUUCUUCGACAUAAUAUUCUAUGAUUUAUUUUGACUUACUAUAUGCUAUCAAUUUCUUCGACAUAAUAUUCUAUGAUUUAUUUUGACUUACUAUAUGGCGUGUGAAAAUCAAAAUAAGUAUACUGUCAUUUUUUGACAUGAUACUAUGACUUUUAUUUCUUUAAAAAUACUUUAAUAUUACUUUCUUCAGACCUUUUUGAAUAUACUUCAUUAUGACUUGUUUCAAUACUUGAAACAUUGUAAUGAUUUCUUUCGACAUACUAUACUAUGACUUUUUUUUUUCUUGACAUACUAAACUCAUUUUUGUUAUUCUAUGACAUUUGAUUUAUGUUUCAACGUAUCACCUUUUGAUGACAUACUCUGACUUUACAAAACCUUUUAUGAAUUGUUUGGACAAACUGCUAUAGUAGGAUUUUUCUUCUUUGUGACAUUUUUUUGACACAUUUUUUUGAUUUUAUGACUUUUGGAUAUUACUUUUUCUAUUUUCAUGGUCAUACAGCACAGCUCCACAACUGUAUGCUCCAUUGUUUUAACUUUAACGUUUGAAUCGUGAUGUCAUUACAAAGAUGUCUGUGGCUUAUUAAUUUCUGCUCCAGGGUGGACAUUGUUGAACAACCCUUACUCUUUCCUCAAGUGUUGCUCAUUACAUCACAUCUCCAGAGACAUGAUGAAUGCAGCAGAGCAGUGUGAAAGAGACAGAAGAAGAGGGAGUGGACACCAGGGCUCCAUUUUAGCAUUCCUCUCUUUAGCUGUUGUGUAACAGAUUUCAGGGGAGCUCCAACGUGGGAUGAUAAAACCUCUGGACUUCAUCCAUUGGGAGGAUAUGGACUCAACUCCUUCUUAUCUUUCAAAAUGUGCCAGAGAAACAUCAAGAACUGAUUCAGAAUAAUGAAAGACAGAAAUGACCAAGCAUUACGUUUAACAUCGAAAGAUGAACCGAAUCCUAAAAGAUCUUUUUGUGUGAGUGCAGCAUGUGUAAGUCAGUGUGGCCAACGACACUGUAUCUGAUGUCACUAAUGUGCUAAAAGAACCUGGACGCUAUGCCACUGACAUCACCACACUUUCAUCAAGGGCUGUUUUAGAGCGUAGACGUGGGGUUUACAACUCACUAUUAUCUUAUAGCUGGGGUGGGAUGAGCCAGCAGAAACCUCCAGGGCCGCUAUUACAGGAACUGGUAAACACCCCAAAACAUUUUUCUACUUAAGCCCAAUUAUGUUCUUAAUGGAACCAUGAUCUCACAAUCCCCACUGUGACACACAUUGGCAGAUAUCAAAUAAAUUAGUGAGACCUGGAAAGUCACUUUGUAUUUCAAGAGAAGUUGGAGGACAGUGUGUGUGUGUGUGUCUCAUUUGCUUAACAGUAUAGAUUUGUUUCUAUGUCAUGUUUUUUUGUAUUUGUGGAAUAUGCUAACAAUACAUGAAGUUGAUUUGUC